rnacentral:rRNA from 1 species
GUGUACGUACAAGCAGUGGGAGCCCCACCACUAAGCCAGUGGUGAACUCCACAUCCGCAUCCUUUGCUGAGGAUACGGUUAACGGAGCGAAAGCGACGUUCAACCGCAAAACAAGCAGAGGGGGCUUAGUGGUGGGGUGACUGCGUACCUUUUGUAUAAUGGGUCAGCGACUUAUAUUCUGUAGCAAGGUUAACCGUAUAGGGGAGCCGGAGGGAAACCGAGUCUUAAUUGGGCGUUAAGUUGCAGGGUAUAGACCCGAAACCCGGUGAUCUAGCCAUGGGCAGGUUGAAGGUUGGGUAACACUAACUGGAGGACCGAACCGACUAAUGUUGAAAAAUUAGCGGAUGACCUGUGGCUGGGGGUGAAAGGCCAAUCAAACCGGGAGAUAGCUGGUUCUCCCCGAAAGCUAUUUAGGUAGCGCCUCGUGAAUUCAUCUCCGGGGGUAGAGCACUGUUUCGGCUAGGGGGCCAUCCCGGCUUACCAACCCGAUGCAAACUGCGAAUACCGGAGAAUGUUAUCACGGGAGACACACGGCGGGUGCUAACGUCCGUCGUGAAGAGGGAAACAACCCAGACCGCCAGCUAAGGUCCCAAAGUCAUGGUUAAGUGGGAAACGAUGUGGGAAGGCCCAGACAGCCAGGAUGUUGGCUUAGAAGCAGCCAUCAUUUAAAGAAAGCGUAAUAGCUCACUGGUCGAGUCGGCCUGCGCGGAAGAUGUAACGGGGCUAAACCAUGCACCGAAGCUGCGGCAGCGAACGUAUCACCCAAGACAACUUUACGGAGUUGACGAUUGACGGAGCGAAGCGACGUCAAAGCGUUCAUUAAAGUCGAGUUGGCUUAGGGAUACGUUCGUUGGGUAGGGGAGCGUUCUGUAAGCCUGUGAAGGUGUGUCGUGAGGCAUGCUGGAGGUAUCAGAAGUGCGAAUGCUGACAUAAGUAACGAUAAAGCGGGUGAAAAGCCCGCUCGCCGGAAGACCAAGGGUUCCUGUCCAACGUUAAUCGGGGCAGGGUGAGUCGACCCCUAAGGCGAGGCCGAAAGGCGUAGUCGAUGGGAAACGGGUUAAUAUUCCCGUACUUGGUGUUACUGCGAAGGGGGGACGGAGAAGGCUAUGUUGGCCGGGCGACGGUUGUCCCGGUUUAAGCGUGUAGGUGUGUGUUCCAGGUAAAUCCGGUUCACUUUAACACUGAGGCGUGACGACGAGGCACUACGGUGCUGAAGCAACAAAUGCCCUGCUUCCAGGAAAAGCCUCUAAGCAUCAGGUAACACGAAAUCGUACCCCAAACCGACACAGGUGGUCAGGUAGAGAAUACCAAGGCGCUUGAGAGAACUCGGGUGAAGGAACUAGGCAAAAUGGUGCCGUAACUUCGGGAGAAGGCACGCUGACACGUAGGUGAAGUGAUUUACUCAUGGAGCUGAAGUCAGUCGAAGAUACCAGCUGGCUGCAACUGUUUAUUAAAAACACAGCACUGUGCAAACACGAAAGUGGACGUAUACGGUGUGACGCCUGCCCGGUGCCGGAAGGUUAAUUGAUGGGGUCAGCGUAAGCGAAGCUCCUGAUCGAAGCCCCGGUAAACGGCGGCCGUAACUAUAACGGUCCUAAGGUAGCGAAAUUCCUUGUCGGGUAAGUUCCGACCUGCACGAAUGGCGUAAUGAUGGCCAGGCUGUCUCCACCCGAGACUCAGUGAAAUUGAACUCGCUGUGAAGAUGCAGUGUACCCGCGGCAAGACGGAAAGACCCCGUGAACCUUUACUAUAGCUUGACACUGAACAUUGAGCCUUGAUGUGUAGGAUAGGUGGGAGGCUUUGAAGUGUGGACGCCAGUCUGCAUGGAGCCGACCUUGAAAUACCACCCUUUAAUGUUUGAUGUUCUAACGUGGACCCGUAAUCCGGGUUGCGGACAGUGUCUGGUGGGUAGUUUGACUGGGGCGGUCUCCUCCUAAAGAGUAACGGAGGAGCACGAAGGUUGGCUAAUCCUGGUCGGACAUCAGGAGGUUAGUGCAAUGGCAUAAGCCAGCUUGACUGCGAGCGUGACGGCGCGAGCAGGUGCGAAAGCAGGUCAUAGUGAUCCGGUGGUUCUGAAUGGAAGGGCCAUCGCUCAACGGAUAAAAGGUACUCCGGGGAUAACAGGCUGAUACCGCCCAAGAGUUCAUAUCGACGGCGGUGUUUGGCACCUCGAUGUCGGCUCAUCACAUCCUGGGGCUGAAGUAGGUCCCAAGGGUAUGGCUGUUCGCCAUUUAAAGUGGUACGCGAGCUGGGUUUAGAACGUCGUGAGACAGUUCGGUCCCUAUCUGCCGUGGGCGCUGGAGAACUGAGGGGGGCUGCUCCUAGUACGAGAGGACCGGAGUGGACGCAUCACUGGUGUUCGGGUUGUCAUGCCAAUGGCACUGCCCGGUAGCUAAAUGCGGAAGAGAUAAGUGCUGAAAGCAUCUAAGCACGAAACUUGCCCCGAGAUGAGUUCUCCCUGAGACUUAGAGUCUCCUGAAGGAACGUUGAAGACGACGACGUUGAUAGGCCGGGU